rfam:Vigna angularis cultivar Jingnong 6 scaffold485_17, whole genome shotgun sequence.
ACUUGAUGGUGUGGGUAGCUUGCACAUAACUUCUUAAAUCUCUCCCAAUACUCGUACAAGCUUUCACCACCAAGCUGCCUAAUCCCAGAGAUGUCUUUCCUUAUGGU